GUGAGAUGUGAACCCCAGACAGGACAGGGCUGGGUUUGAGUCUCGCUGGAAUCAACCCCCUGCUCAGGGAAGGCAGAGUCACUACAUCCCAGAAGCUGUGGAAUCCUGGCCAGAGCAGGCUGUGGUCUGCAGGAGCCUCGGCACAGCCCGGGGCACAGCUCUGGGCUCCGAGGGGUGAAGCUGCACGCUCACGGUUUUCCAAAAGGCUCCAGACCUGUUUUUAAGAAAGUGCUUUAAUUCCUGUGCUUGUGCUCCCAGAGCCCGGCGCUGGCUUCUGCUCCGGGUCACUUUAAUGACCUCGUUCUGCAGAUCGGAGCAGAGAGGAGAAGGAUGUGAGACAUUCCUGUGAAGGAGCCGGGACUCUCUCGGGCCUCUCCCCGGAGCCCCGGGGUUCCUGGCCAUGGACCCGCAGGAAGCCCAGAUGGUUCAGAUAACACAAAACGCGGCAGGAAUGCGUCCUAAAAACAUCACCCCAGAACUCAGCACGCGUUGUACAGCUCAGGACAGUUCUUUUAUCUUCAUACCCGUGCUGCCAGAGCUGUGUCUGCACAGAGCUUCACCUUGUGCUCCAUGGACCCCGCAGCCCAGCCAGAACCCCAGGCACCAUGCCAGCAGGAUGCAGAGAGCUCUGGAGUGGUGUUUCAGUUGAGAUGACUUUCAGCUCCAUCUUCUUGCUGCCCAACAGCCAAAGAGCCCAGUGCAGGAGGAGUGAUGC